rnacentral:rRNA from 1 species
UGCAUGCAGUCGAACGGAUCUCUCCGUGAAGCUCCCGGAUGGAACCCGGCAACAAACCGGAAGCCCGAUUCGUCGGGCCAAGGCGAGGAACCGGUCUACUGAACGGAUUGGAUCGGAUCACAGAGGUUAGUGGCAAACGGCUGAGUAACGCGUAACCAACCUGUCCCGGUGUGGGGGACAACCUCGAGAAAUCGUGGCUAAUACCGCAUGACAUGGCUUGUCGAAGGGCGGGUCAUCAAAGGCUCCGGUCGCAUGGGGAGGGGGUUGCGUUCUAUCAGGUAGUUGGUGAGGUAACGGCUCACCAAGCCUACGACGGAUAGCUGGUCUGAGAGGAUGAUCAGCCAGAUGGGGACUGAGACACGGCCCCAACUCCUACGGGAGGCAGCAGCAGGGAAUCUUGCGCAAUGGGCGAAAGCCUGACGCAGCGACGUCGCGUGGGGGAUGAAUGCCUUCGGGUUGUAAACCCCUUUUGUUUGGGGCGAAGUUCUGACGGUACCAAACGAAUAAGCCUCGGCUAACUACGUGCCAGCAGCAGCGGUAAUACGUAGGAGGCGAGCGUUGCCCGGAUUUAUUGGGCGUAAAGGGCGCGUAGGCGGCCUGGAAAGUCCUUUGUGAAAUCUCCCGGCUUAACUGGGAGGGGUCAGAGGAAACUAUCAGGCUUGAGGGGAGCAGAGGAGAACGGAAUUCCCGGUGUAGCGGUGAAAUGCAUAGAUAUCGGGAGGAACACUUGUGGCGAAGGCGGUUCUCUGGGCUCUUCCUGACGCUGAGGUGCGAAAGCGUGGGGAGCAAACCGGAUUAGAUACCCGGGUAGUCCACGCCGUAAACUAUGGACACUGGGUACAGGGGGUAUCGACCCCCUCUGUGCCGAAGCUAACGCGUUAAGUGUCCCGCCUGGGGAGUACGGCCGCAAGGCUAAAACUCAAAGGAAUUGACGGGGGCCCGCACAAGCAGCGGAGCGUGUGGUUUAAUUCGAUGCUAAGCGAAGAACCUUACCUGGGCUUGACAUGUCGGAAGUAGAAACCCGAAAGGGCAACCAACUGUUAAGUCAGUAGCCGACACAGAUGCUGCAUGGCUGUCGUCAGCUCGUGCCGUGAGGUGUUGGGUUAAGUCCCACAACGAGCGCAACCCUCGUCGUCAGUUGGAUUUUUCUGGCGAGACUGCUGCGCAGAACGCAGAGGAAGGUGGGGAUGACGUCAAGUCAGCACGGCUCUUACGCCCAGGGCUACACACACGCUACAAUGGUCGGUACAAAGGGUUGCCAAGGAGCGAUCCGGAGCUAAUCCCAUCAAAGCCGGCCCCAGUUGGAAUUGGAGGCUGAAAUUCGCCUCCAUGAACGCGGAGUUGCUAGUAACCGCAGGUCAGCACACUGCGGUGAAUACGUUCCCGGGCCUUGUACACACCGCCCGUCAAGUCAUGAAAGUCGGCAACACCUGAAGUCGAUGGGCCAACCCUUCGGGGAGGUAGUCGCCUAGGGGUGGGG